CUCCUGCCCGGGCUGGGCUCCCAGGCAGCCUGGCAUGGUGCCAGGCUCGCCGCGCGGGCAGCAGGGUGGGGCAAGCGGCGGCAGCGGAGGACGUGGCCGGGCGCCCUGGGCUCAAGCAGCACCCCAGCCGGGAGGCCGGGGCCCAGAAGCCAGAAGAAAAAACUGACUGUAAUCAUAAUGAACACAUAAUGGUGAAUCCUGCCUGGCUUACACCCAUCUGUCCACCGGUGCAGCCGUGGAUGUUGUGAAUACAGUGGAGGCAGGGCCCGGAAUGUGUAA